rnacentral:rRNA from 1 species
CGUGGCUAACCUGCCUUAGGAUCGGAAUACCCCCGGGAAACUGGGGCUAAUUCUCAAUAGGUGAAGAACUCUGGAAUGAGUCUUCACUGAAAAGGCGCUAGAGUUAUGCUCUUUGGCGCCGCCCAAGGAUGGGGCCGCGACCGAUCAGGUUGUUGGUGAGGUAAUGGCUCACCAAGCCUUUUACCGGUGCGGGCCGUGGGAGCGGGAGCCCGGAGAUGGGCACUGAGACAAGGGCCCAGGCCCUACGGGGCGCAGCAGUCGCGAAAACUUUGCAAUAAGCGAAAGCUUGACAGGGCUAUCCCGAGUGCCAUCCGCUGAGGAAGGCUUUUACCCAGUCUAGAACGCUGGGGGAAUAAGGAGAGGGCAAGUCUGGUGUCAGCCGCCGCGGUAAUACCAGCUCUCCGAGUGGUGUGGAUGUUCAUUGGGCCUAAAGCAUCCGUAGCUGGCUAGGUUAGUCCCCUGUUAAAUCCACCGAAUUAAUCGUUGGAUUGCGGGGGAUACUGCUUGGCUAGGGGACGAGAGAGGCAGACGGUAUUUCCGGGGUAGGGGUGAAAUCCUAUAAUCCCGGGAAGACCACCAGUGGCGAAGGCUGUCUGCUAGAACGCGCCCGACGGUGAGGGAUGAAAGCUGGGGGAGCGAACCGGAUUAGAUACCCGGGUAGUCCCAGCUGU